rnacentral:rRNA from 1 species
UGGAGGAAAGCAGGGGAUCGUAAGACCUUGCGCUUUUGGAGUGGCCGAUGCCUGAUUAGCUAGUUGGUGGGGUAAGAGCCUACCAAGGCGACGAUCAGUAGUUGGUCUGAGGGGACGACCAGCCACACUGGGACUGAGACACGGCCCAGACUCCUACGGGAGGCAGCAGUGGGGAAUUUUGGACAAUGGGCGGAAGCCUGAUCCAGCAAUGCCGCGUGAGUGAAGAAGGCCUUCGGGUUGUAAAGCUCUUUCAGUCGAGAAGAAAAGGUUGCGACUAAUAAUCGCAACUUAUGACGGUAUCGACAGAAGAAGCACCGGCUAACUACGUGCCAGCAGCCGCGGUAAUACGUAGGGUGCGAGCGUUAAUCGGAAUUACUGGGCGUAAAGGGUGCGCAGGCGGCUCUGUAAGUCAGAUGUGA